rnacentral:lncRNA from 10 species
GACCCCUUGAACCUGAACAGUCAGUCCAUGCUGCAGAUUCCUGCAGCCUUCCCUGCCCAGUGACGUCACCAGCACGCCUGGGACUGUGCCCUUCAUUUGGAACCUGCUGGAAGCUGUUCUGAACCAGAGAAGGAUGAAAAUAGCUGCCAAAGAUGUUGCCAUAGCAACUGCUUUCCUUCCUGACCUCCUUGGAAGUUAGUAGUUGACUUUGCAGUUGAAGUACUUUUCUGAAGGCAGAAGAGGCUGUCAGCCAUUUUAUACUGACCUAACUUUCUUCUCUUGAAGGUGAACUCCCUCAUUUUCCAGAGUAGUCAAGGAAUUUCUGUGCCUCUACCCAUGGCUUUGGUUACCAACUCAUCCCUGGGGGCCUUGGUUUCUUUCUGUGAAAUGGAAUAUUCAUUCCAGCACUCACCACCUUCUAGGCUGGAGUAAGGCUCCAACUUUGCAAAUGCUGUUAGUAAACUGUAGAGCUCCGUGCACUUCCACGUGUCUUUACUUGACCAACACUGACACUCCCUUGGGCUAAUGGCUCUAUAAAUUGGAGGAUGGGGCAGCUGACUUGUUCAACAAGCCCAGAGCCCCAGGACAGAGGACCCCUUUGGAGUUUGAUUCCUGUUCUGUCACCAAAAGCCCCUGGGACCUUCAGCAGGUCACGCAGGCCCCCAGGGACUCAUUUUCUCCUGUAAAAGGACGCCUCUCUAGUUAACUCAAGAGGCCCCUUCCAGCUCUGACAUUCCAUGACCCUAAGUUAAAGGCCAGCCUGCUUUCCGUAAUAAAUCUGUGGAACUUACCAUCCAUAUAGGAGGUGAAAAUGCAGCUAUGCUGCACUGAGUCCUUUCUACAUGGCAGGCACUGCGGCACAUGCAUUCACUGAAUUUUCACGGAAGAUAACUGUCAUGAUUACAGCACCUACCCAUUUUACAGAUGAGGAAAUGGAGGCCCAGAGAAGUUAAGUAAACUUGCUCAAGGUUGCACAGCCAGUAAAUAGCAAUGUCAAGACUUAAAGCCUGGUGGUCCAGCAGCUAGUCCACACAGCUGUCUUUCUAGGUACUGACUAGAAUGACGAAAACAACAUGGGUCAGUUCAUAGCAGGUAAAACGUUGAGUGGAGCAAACCCUGGACGAGGCACCAGCAGCCCUGGGUUCUACCCUAGGCUGUGCCAUUUAAGUGGCA